CAUGUCGUUUUCUAGGGUUCCGCGGCGUUACACCGCCGGCUGGUCCAAGGGAAAACACACAGCAAAUAUGCUGUGGUCACGGAGGGAGAAAAGCCCGGGAGUC
rnacentral:sRNA from 2 species